GCUGUAUUCUCGUCACACAAAAGACACUAGCCACUUCAGAUGUCUUUUUGAGCAGGACUGAAACCAGCAGACAUCAUGUGUCUAUUUUGAAUCCCAUAUGGUAUAAGGGAGAAUGCCAUGGGUCCUGCCCUGAACGGAAGUGCACAGAAAUCCUGGGCUGAAUUAACAAACUAACAUGCCCAUAAGCCAGAAAUACCUCCUAUCUGUAUAUCAACAAGAAACAUGGUGGAAGAACCAGAGCAUGCUAUAAGAUGUUUCGGUAAAAGCCUUCAAACAGUCUGCUUUACUCCAUAAGAGAGAAACACAGAUCAAACUAUGGAUCCAAACACUCACCCAGAUUGCAG